rnacentral:rRNA from 1 species
AGUGAACGCUGGCGAUAGGCCUAACACAUGCAAGUCGAACGGCAGCACAGUAAGAGCUUGCUCUUACGGGUGGCGAGUGGCGGACGGGUGAGGAAUACAUCGGAAUCGACUUUUUCGUGGGGGAUAACGUAGGGAAACUUACGCUAAUACCGCAUACGACCUACGGGUGAAAGCAGGGGAUCUUCGGACCUUGCGCGAUUGAAUGAGCCGAUGUCGGAUUAGCUAGUUGGCGGGGUAAGGCCCACCAAGGCGACGAUCCGUAGCUGGUCUGAGAGGAUGAUCAGCCACACUGGAACUGAGACACGGUCCAGACUCCUACGGGAGGCAGCAGUGGGGAAUAUUGGACAAUGGGCGCAAGCCUGAUCCAGCCAUACCGCGUGGGUGAAGAAGGCCUUCGGGUUGUAAAGCCCUUUUGUUGGGAAAGAAAAGCAGCAGGUUAAUACCCCGCUGUUCUGACGGUACCCAAAGAAUAAGCACCGGCUAACUUCGUG